AGUGAACGCUGGCGGUAGGCCUAACACAUGCAAGUCGAACGGCAGCACAGUAAGAGCUUGCUCUUACGGGUGGCGAGUGGCGGACGGGUGAGGAAUACAUCGGAAUCUACUUUUUCGUGGGGGAUAACGUAGGGAAACUUACGCUAAUACCGCAUACGGCCUACGGGUGAAAGCAGGGGAUCUUCGGACCUUGCGCAAUUGAAUGAGCCGAUGUCGGAUUUGCUAGUUGGCGGGGUAAAGGCCCACCAAGGCAACGAUCCGUAGCUGGUCUGAGAGGAUGAUCAGCCACACUGGAACUGAGACACGGUCCAGACUCCUACGGGAGGCAGCAGUGGGGAAUAUUGGACAAUGGGCGCAAGCCUGAUCCAGCCAUACCGCGUGGGUGAAGAAGGCCUUCGGGUUGUAAAGCCCUUUUGUUGGGAAAGAAAAGCAGCAGGUUAAUACCCCGCUGUUCUGACGGUACCCAAAGAAUAAGCACCGGCUAACUUCGUG
rnacentral:rRNA from 1 species